rnacentral:tRNA from 1 species
GCCGCGGUCGCAUAACCUGGUAUUGCGUAGGAUUGCUAAUCCUAUGUCCGCAAGGAUGUGUGGGUUCAAAUCCCUCCCGCGGCG